AUUGAACGCUGGCGGCAUGCUUUACACAUGCAAGUCGAACGGCAGCGAGAGAGAAGCUUGCUUCUCUUGUCGGCGAGUGGCGAACGGGUGAGUAAUACAUCGGAACGUACCCUGUAGUGGGGGAUAACUACUCGAAAGAGUAGCUAAUACCGCAUACAACCUGAGGGUAAAAGUGGGGGAUCUUCGGACCUCACGCUAUCAGAUGAGCCUAGGUACGAUUAGCUAGUUGGUGAGGUAAAGGCUCACCAAGGCGACGAUCGUUAACUGGUCUGAGAGGAUGAUCAGUCACACUGGAACUGAGACACGGUCCAGACUCCUACGGGAGGCAGCAGUGGGGAAUAUUGGACAAUGGGCGAAAGCCUGAUCCAGCCAUGCCGCGUGUGUGAAGAAGGUCUUCGGAUUGUAAAGCACUUUAAGUUGGGAGGAAGGGCAGUAAGUUAAUACCUUGCUGUUUUGACGUUACCGACAGAAUAAGCACCGGCUAACUUCGUGCCAGCCGCCGCCGUAAUAC
rnacentral:rRNA from 1 species